rnacentral:rRNA from 1 species
ACGCUGGCGGUAUGCUUAACACAUGCAAGUCGAACGGAAACGAUACUAGCUUGCUAGUAGGCGUCGAGUGGCGGACGGGUGAGUAACGCGUAGGAAUCUGCCUGAUAGUGGGGGAUAGCCCGAAGAAAUUCGGAUUAAUACCGCAUAAUCUAUUCGUAGUAAAGUGGGGGACUUUCGAGCCUCACGCUAUCAGAUGAGCCUGCGUAAGAUUAGCUUGUUGGUAGGGUAAAAGCCUACCAAGGCGACGAUCUUUAGCUGGUCUGAGAGGAUGAUCAGCCACAUCGGGACUGAGACACGGCCCGAACUCCUACGGGAGGCAGCAGUGGGGAAUAUUGGACAAUGGGGGCAACCCUGAUCCAGCAAUACCGCGUGUGUGAAGAAGGCCUGAGGGUUGUAAAGCACUUUCAAUUGUGAAGAAAAGUUAGCGGUUAAUAACCGUUAGCCUUGACGUUAACUUUAGAAGAAGCACCGGC